UCAGGACGAACGCUGGCGGCGUGCUUCAUACAUGCAAGUCGAACGAGAAGCUGACUUCGGUCAGUGGAAAGUGGCGGACGGGUGAGUAAUAUGUAGAGAAUCUGCCCUUGAGUGGGGGACAACAGAGGGAAACUUCUGCUAAUACCCCAUAUGAGCUAACUUGAAAUAGUUAUCUUGAAAACUCCGGUGCUCAAGGAUGAGUCUGCAUCUGAUUAGCUAGUUGGCGGUGUAAUGGACCACCAAGGCGACGAUCAGUAGCUGGUUUGAGAGGAUGAUCAGCCACAAUGGGACUGAGACACGGCCCAUACUCCUACGGGAGGCAGCAGUAGGGAAUUUUGCGCAAUGGGCGAAAGCCCUGACGCAGCAACGCCGCGUGAACGAUUAAGCCCUUCGGGGUGUAAAGUUCUGUCAGUAGGGACGAAUUUUGACGGUACCUACAGAGGAAGCACCGGCUAACUCCGUGCCAGCAGCAGC
rnacentral:rRNA from 1 species